CUUAUUGGAGGGCUGCUAAUCAAGGUAUGUAAUGGUUAUCCCUUUAUGCUUUUCGGGAUGAAUCUGCCUUAACGAAAAUUUUUCUAAAGAAAAGCUUAAUGAAAUGUCUCGUCGUAAUUUCAUACAUGAUAUCAUCUGGGUUUAUAUGUUUACCUUUGACGUUAUUGUGUUGGUUGAUGUUCCACAAUAGAUGUAUUGAAUUUUGAUUCUCUCUGAAAAUAAAUGUAUUGGAAGUAACAUCCAUAAUAUUUUUCAGCAAGCUAACGACCUUACGUCAUUCUGAAUAUUUUGUCACUGGAUUGGGUAAUGAGCCUCAGAGCUACUGUAUAUAUUAUAUACAUACCACUGCAGUUGGGGACGUUAUUACAUCAUAUCUAUACCACUGCAGUUCAGAGACAUUAUUUUUACUACAAUAUAUAUACCGGUUGAGCUAUACUCAGACGGGGAUGGCCCUUUGUGGCAUAUGUACUUCCAUGUUGUCCUUUGCACUCUUCUGUACUUAUUGAUUUUUUCAUAUGUUAUUCAUGCAUUACAUAUACAGCACAUUCUUUUCGUACUGAUGCCCCUUUAUGCCGGGGCACUGCAUCUCAUGCUACAGCUCCAAGUAGAGAGUCUGACAGGCCUCCUCAAUAUGUGGUUGCUCCUGUUUAGGCUUUUUGGUAUGGUUAUGUAGGCAGGUCGGGGGCAAUGUUAUAUGCUUAGAGGCUUGUAGACUGGUUGUUGUAUGUCUAGUAUGUUCUAUAUGGUCUUGCCAACCUUGAUGUUGUCAUGUUGAUGUCUAUUAUGGCCUUGUUUNNNNNNNNNNNNNNNNNNNAUUCCAAUCGUUUCCAGUUUCUCUCUAUUUUUCUUCUCCAUUCCACCCAAUUCAAUAAAUGACAUACUCGUGUCCAAAAUUAAUCACCACGUGUGAUAAGAAAGUAAUCUUUCCACCAUGCCUAAAAGGUGUAAAAGCCAAGUGCAGCAAAAUUUGAAAGAUCCUGAACUGCUUCUCGUGUCUGGAAAUUUUUUUUCCCUGAAGAAACUGAAAGAGUUCUGUUAUUAGAUGUCAAAUGGAUCAUGGGCAGCAACUGGAUGGUAGUAGCUUGUAUUGAAGCUUUGAAUUUAAAAUCGAAGUUAUGUUAUUAGUUAAGAGCUUAAACUAUAUUGACGUCUAUUAAAAAGUUUUGAAACUUUGAAUUUGACUGUUGUAUUUUAAAAUAACCAUGGGAUAUUUAUAUCUCAAUUUUGAGGGAAUUUGGUAAAUAUUCGAGUUGAUUUGGGUUAGAAUUUUGGAUUGAAACUCGAAGAAUAAGACAUAUGAAAACUAUAUAUAUUUUAUACGUGUACAAACAACAUACAAAUAUAUAUACAAUGAACAUAAUAAUAUAUAAGUUGAAUGUAAGUUAUAGCUUUUGACCAAACUUUAUACAAUAACAUAUUACAAAUGGUGUAUAAGUUAUAUGUAUAUCGUAGUUUUUGCCUGAAUUUUGUACAAUGAAAAGUUAUAUACCAAUUGUAUGUAAAUCUAUAGCUUUAACCGGAUUUACAUAUAUUUUGUAAAAAAAAUUGUUACUUUUUAUAAUAGAAAAAACUGGCAAAAUCCGGUAAAUAUUGUUCUAAUUUUUAUAUAUAGAAAAUAAAUCCCAAUUUCUAUUGGUUUCGACUAGCUUUGUGCUUCAUCUAACUCAAAUGGGCACAAGCAAAUCGAUCACCUAAGUUUUAGCUUUUAGUCCAACAAAGGGGAGAUGACUCGAUGGGAUUAUUUAAAUAACUAGUUAAAGAUGGCCCGUGCUAAGCCCGGGCCCAAGCCCAUCAUUUGUUAGAUUAAAUUAUUAUAGCAUUAAGUAUAUUAUGGUGAAUUAGAUAUUAUACAUAUAUGUUAUGCAGUUUCACCAAGGGGUUGUAAUAUUGUAGAAGUUGAGUCAUCAGUAUAUGCUUGGUGUGAUACCAAAACUAUGCUUCUAUACGAAUGAACGAACGAAAGGACUAAUAGGUGUUUAAAAGGCUACCACAAGGCAAUGAAAUCUCAAAGGUCAAAACAAUGAUGUAACUCAUAAAAUAGAAAAUAAAAAAAGACAAAGCAAUGGUGCGAGUGGAUUUAAUGGGAGAAUGAUGGUAAUACAACUACCACUCUUUUCUCAAGCGUACACCAUCACACUUUGCUGGAUAUGGCUGUCCAUUGGACAUGAGCAACCUCCUUCCCUUUACUAGCAGAACAAAAUAUGGUAUAAGAGAAGAUAUGCUAUAACAGAGACAACAAAUAAUGCUGGCAAUCAAGGAUAAUCUGAAUCAAUUCAAGUAGAAUGAAAUAUUUUACGUAGAAAGGAGGUUACAAGGGGUUUCAGAAAUGGCACAGGUGUAUCUAAAGUUACAAUCUUAUGGCUAACUUGAACUUGAAUCAACCUUUUCUUUUCUGUUUUAAAAAAAAUUCUCUUGAAAAGGGUAUAACAUUAACUUUUGACAACUGAAGGUAGUACAAGCAUAAUGAUUGACUAUGAAGAGUGUUUGAAUGUUGCUCAAACAAAUAACAUGCAUAGGUAAAGAACUUUCUAUAAUUCUAUGCUUUACAAUACUUUGCACAACUAAUUUCACUGGCACAAUCUGAAUAAGAGAAAUCACAUAAAGCAAUAAAUUCUAAUGCACAUAUUAGAAGUGCCACUGUAAGCCUGAAGAUACUAAUUGUCUACUGCUUAAGAAAUAUCAGGUAUUCCUUUUUCUAUUGUAACCACAGAAGAAAUAGAGCAAACCAGAGAGCACAAGUAAAUUCAAACCAAAAAGGUAGUUUGGAUGAUCUACUAUUGUAUUUUUUCAGCAAGCAGUUUGAUCUUUAGUUCUAGAUUUACAGGACUCCCAAGUUGUAAUGUUUGUCUAAAACACGUGUACACAGGGACAAAGUUAAAGUUCAAACCAAAGCACGUGUAGUCCUUUAUAUUCUCCGAGUUGAAUCCUUAGUCCAUAACCAUCUGCGCCACCAUCAAAAGUAGUGUAUGUACAAGUCAUCAAAAGACAUAUGUACAGGCAGGCCACAUAGUCAAUACACUGUAAAUAUUAAGAAAGACAAGCAGUCAUUGUUAAAUAUGAAAGAGAAAAAUAUAAUUUUCUUUUUAGCUUCUUAUUAUGACCAAAGAUAGGUUUUAAAGCCAAUUUUAUCAUGGGGAAUUAUGAAGGAAAACAGAAUUCAGGAAAAGGAAAAUAAUACAAAUUUUCAGAAUACACUUUGUAUCCUUUGGAUUGUUAUGGUAGAUGGAUGUAAAUAACACCGACCAAAUAAUCCAGUAUUAGGAGCUUUAGAUAAUUUACUUUCUAUAUGACACUAUUUAAUUCCUCUGAAUCUUAUUGUGCAAAGUGUGACGAACUUCAAAGUUUCAUUUAUUUUAGUCCUCACCUGAAGAGCUAAUAUGUACAAAAGAUCAAAAGGUUUAAGUCUUCACCUGUAGUAAAGAAACAUCUAAAAAGAUAGAGAAAACAAGGGAACAAAGUUUGUAGAAAGAGGGAAUCGAAGGAAAGUUCAGUCCCCCCGAAGAAGAUGGUCAUGGACAUGGUAAGCACGUUGAACAGUCAAAACGUAAAGUGAAUUGGAUGAAGAAAACAAAACAUCAUGAAUUUUUAUUCUUUAAUCAUCAAAGGUUCAAAUAUGCAUGGGAUAACGAGGACACUACAGUUAUGAGGACAGAACUGCCUAGUGCAACACUUUUGUCUGCUCUAGUGCAGAGUAUGGUGAACGUUAUCUUCUUCCAAGGAGAUAUAUGGGAAAUAUGGGAAGCACAGGCACUUAAAUGGGCUAUGGAAUACACAACUUUUAACAUUAUGUGUAUUUAAAAAUCAACAACAUCAUGUUCCAGAAAAGUAUUAAAAACUAUUUGAUUAUCUAACGAUUUUGGAGUAAUAUAUCAGCUUAGAGUUUCUAGUGACAAAGAUAAAUCUAACAACUCAAUAACUUCCAACACAGUACCUAUAUAGACUAUAGUUCUAUUUGUUGUAGUAGAUUAAAUGUCUCUUAAUAUAGAGAUUUUCAAAUUUUAUGCUAUAUACAAAGAAGCGACAAAAUGAAACUUUAGUGCAACAACUUAUCCGAUAGUACUUCCUACAACCUCAAUUAAUUUAUAAUCUUUUGUAUCACUUUAAAGAAUAAUAGGUAUCUUUACAACAAAUCCAUAAUUGCAUAUACAACUUCUUUAUUCCACCAAAUGCCUUACUAUGAAGCAUGGGGAAAAGGAAUUAAUAUCUAGCCAUGACAAAAUUUGGUGUGUUGAGUCUUUCUGAUAUGCAAUUGUGAUGACCUGGCUAGUCGUCUCAUGAGUUACCGCUCCAUUUUCUCUAUUUCUACUUCUUUACGCUUCGUUAUCCAUGUUUUAUGUGAUCGGGUUGAUUAGUUUGAGUCCAGAAAGGAUUUGGUAAGAAAUGAGACACUUAGUCUCUUUUAAGAAGGUUUAAGUUGGAAAAGUCAAUCGGAUAUUGACUUAUGUGUUAGAGGGCUCGGAUGUGAGUUCCGAUGGUGCGGUUAGCUUCGGGAGGUGAUUUACGACUUAGGAAUGUGAUCGGAAUUGAUUUUAGAGGUCCGGAGUAGGAUUAGGCUUGAAUAUGCGAAGUUAGUAUUUUGGCAAUUUUCGGUUGAUAGGUGAGAUUUUGAUCCGGGGGUCGGAAUGGAAUUUUGAGAGUUGCUGUAGCUUCGUUAUGUCAUUUGUGAUGUGUAUGCAAAAUUUCAGGUCAUUCGGACGUGGUUUGGUUGGGUUUUUGAUCGAAAGCGUAUUUCGGAAGUUUUUAGAAAACUUUAGGCUUGAAUUCGAUGUGAAUUGACGGAUUGGGUGUUGUUUGAGGUGUUUUGAUGAUUGGAACAAGUUUGAAUGAGGUUUUAGGAUGCGUUGGUGCUUUUGGUUGAGGUCCCGGGGGCCUUAGGUGAGUUUCGGGUGGUCAAUCGGGCUAGUUUUGGUGUUGGAUAAUUGCAGAAAUUGUUCAGCUGUUGCAGACGAAAUUGGCCUUCGCGAUCGCGUGGGGCCAGUCGCGAUCGUGUAGAAGGAUUUUGGGAUGGUCUGUGUUUGGUCUUCGCAUUCACGUUUGCGAACGGUGGGAGGCUGGUGCUUCGCGUUCGCGCGAGGGUAGGUCACGUUCGCAUAGUGGAGUUGGCGCGUGAAGGGUCCAGGAGUUGUUGCUCUUCGCAUUCGCGUAAGUGGGACCGUGUUCGCGUAGGUUGAGGAGUCUAAAGCAUCGCGUUUGCGAGCCCUUGGUUGCGAUCGCGUAGAAGGAAAUCUGGUCAAGUUAAAUUUGUGCAUCGCGAACAGGAGAGUUUGAACGCGUUCGCGAAGAAGUAAAGUCAGAACUGGGCAGAAAGUUUAUAAGUUGUUUCAUCCGCGAUUUUGAGCCAUUUUUCCUCCAUAGUGAGCAUUUUGAGAGCUUUUUGAAGGUGAUUAAAGAGGGAUUCAAGGAGAAUUGAUUGGAGGUAAGAUUUAUGAACCUAAAACGUGAUUCUAUUGUGAAAUUAACCUAGAAAUUCAUGGAACCUGAGCUAAAAAUGGAAGAACUAGGGCUUGGGAUUUUGAACUUUUGAAUUGAGAUUUGAAGGACCAUUUGAGGUCGGAUUUGAGAAUUUUUGACAUGUAUGAACUCGUGGAAGGAUAAGGAACCCGUUGAUGUAAAAAUUUCUGAGUUUUGAGAAGUGGGCUCAGGGCUCGGGUUUUUGCAAAUUUCGGGAUUUUUGAUAUUUUUCGAUUGUUUUUGUUUGGGCUUUGUUCCCUUAGAAUAUUGUGACGUAUUUGUUCUGAUUUUGGUCAGAUUCGACGCGCGAGGUGGCCGAUUUGAGAGGCAAAGGCGUCGCGAGCUAGAGAUUUAGCCGGUUUGAGAUGAGUAAUGAAUGUAAAUGAUGUCUUGAGGGUUUGAAAUCCCGGAUUUGCACAUCGUAGUGCUAUAUUGAGGUGAGAAAAGCGCUUGACGAUGAACAUGGGGUCGUUUACUAUUGGGGAUUGUGACUUAGUCUGCCCCGAUUGAUGAUUUUACCGCGUAUUUGAUUGAAACUUAUCUGUUAUCAUCAUUAUUUGGACUGAUUGUCAUAUUUGGGCUUCGUGCCAGUUAUUUGAACCCUCUGGAAAUUUUUAUCACUAUUACCUCACUGUUUUGACUUACUCCCUGAACUCAGUCGUACUGUUUUUCCCCUGUUUUACAACUCCGCCACUUUUUACUCGGUUUUGGAACUAAAAUAAUAUUUUAAAUGAUGUUUUGGGUUGAGGCCUACUGAUUUACUAAUGCCCGAGGGGCUUAUGUGAUUUCUGGACUGAGUAAGAGCGAGGGCCAGAUGUGAGGAUACAAUGAUACUGAUAUGAGGCUGAGGGCCUAAGAUACAUAUACAUACGCCACGAGGUGGCUGAUAUUGAUAUGAGGUCGAUGACCUAGAUUUGAUGUCACGAGAUGGCUUGAUAUUGCGCUUUGGCCAUAAGGGGCCCCUCUCGGAGUCUGCACACCCCUAGUGAGCGCGAUUACCCAAUUGUGAUAUGAGAGAGAGAGAGAGAGACCGAGGGGCUGGUACUGUUCCACGUGUUUAUUUCUCUUUAAUUGUCUGUCUCUUACUGCUUAUCUGUUGUAGAAUUAUCUUAUUCCGUUUUUCAUUGGUUUAUCGCUUUUAUACUACUUGUUUAACUGUUGCAUUAUAGAUUACCCUGUGUAUACGUGAUUUCCUACUCUUAGUCAUUAUUUAUGCUUAUUACUCACUGUGUCAGAGUACUCACAUUACUCCCUGCACCUUGCGUGCAGAUCCAGGUGUUCCAGAGGUUGAGUGAGAGCUUUCCAGUCGAUCAACAUUAUCCGGGAGUAUCGAGGUAGCUGCAUGGCGACCGCAGCCUUGAUUUCUCCCUUCCUUCCUAUUGUAUUCCGCAUUCCUAGACUGUUUGUGUAGUAGGCUGUUGAAUUGUGUUAGUUGAUAUUGGAUUUUAUAAAAAAAUGGGUUGUGG
rnacentral:lncRNA from 1 species